AUUGAACGCUGGCGGCAGGCCUAACACAUGCAAGUCGAACGAGUGGCGGACGGGGGAGGAAAGACAGGGAAACUUCCCGAUGGAGGGGGAUAACUGCUGGAAACGGUAGCUAAUACCGCAUACCAUCGGAUGUGCCCAGAUGGGGUUAGCUAGUAGGUGGGGUAACGGCUCACCUAGGCGACGAUCCCUAGCUGGUCUGAGAGGAUGACCAGCCACACUGGAACUGAGACACGGUCCAGACGCCUACGGGAGGCAGCAGUGGGGAAUAUUGCACAAUGGGCGCAAGCCUGAUGCAGCCAUGCCGCGUGUAUGAAGAAGGCCUUCGGGUUGUAAAGUACUUUCAGUGAGGAGGCGUUACUCGCAGAAGAAGCACCGGCUAACUCCGUGCCAGCAGCCGCGGUAAUAC
rnacentral:rRNA from 1 species